rnacentral:misc_RNA from 1 species
AAAUGCGAUAAGUAAUGUGAAUUGCAGAAUUCAGUGAAUCAUCGAAUCUUUGAACGCACAUUGCGCCCCCUGGUAUUCCGGGGGGCAUGCCUGUUCGGGCGUCAUUUCACCACUCAAGCCUCGCUUGGUAUUGGGCGACGCGGUCCGCCGCGCGCCUCAAAUCGACCGGCUGGGUCUUCUGUCCCCUCAGCGUUGUGGAAACUAUUCGCUAAAGGGUGCCACGGGAGGUCACGCCGUAAAACAAGCCCAUUUCUAAGGUUGACCUCGGAUCAGGUAGGGAUACCCGCUGAACUUAAGC